AGUGAACGCUGGCGGUAGGCCUAACACAUGCAAGUCGAACGGCAGCACAGUAAGGGCUUGCUCUUACGGGUGGCGAGUGGCGGACGGGUGAGGAAUACAUCGGAAUCUACUUUUUCGUGGGGGAUAACGUAGGGAAACUUACGCUAAUACCGCAUACGACCUACGGGUGAAAGCAGGGGAUCUUCGGACCUUGCGCGAUUGAAUGAGCCGAUGUCGGAUUAGCUAGUUGGCGGGGUAAAGGCCCACCAAGGCGACGAUCCGUAGCUGGUCUGAGAGGAUGAUCAGCCACACUGGAACUGAGACACGGUCCAGACUCCUACGGGAGGCAGCAGUGGGGAAUAUUGGACAAUGGGCGCAAGCCUGAUCCAGCCAUACCGCGUGGGUGAAGAAGGCCUUCGGGUUGUAAAGCCCUUUUGUUGGGAAAGAAAAGCAGCAGGUUAAUACCCCGCUGUUCUGACGGUACCCAAAGAAUAAGCACCGGCUAACUUCAUG
rnacentral:rRNA from 1 species